ACGAGAAUCUGAAACCUUGCCAAACAACAUGUACAUUGUGAAUUAUUACAUGAACUCAAUAUUUAACAAAAAUUGCUAUAAGAAAAAUAGGUUGGAGCAAAAAUGCCCAUACACAUAAUCGGUUGGAGCCAUGGAUGGGGUGUUGCCACCUCAACAUGGCAAAGUGGUUAAGUUUGAUCCUAAACCCGCUUGUAAGAGCAUCUCUAGCAGUACUACCUAAAUGUUUGUUUAGGUACCCACCUAUUUUUAUACCACCUAAAAUUUGCUUCCAAGUCCAGCAGUACUACCUAAAUCUUGGCUCACAAAUUCAGCUUAAC
rnacentral:lncRNA from 1 species